rnacentral:tRNA from 1 species
GUCCUGUUAGCUCAGUUGGUUAGAGCGCCGUGCUAUUAACGCGGAGGUCAUGUGUUCGAUCCUCCUACGGGCCA